UUUGAUAAGGGUUAGGUGAUGACAAAUAUUGGAUUGAUAGAGAGAAGAUUAGCAUGGCCGCUGCGAAAGGGUGCCAUGCAAAUCCAUGAUGGAUUGAGCAACGUU